ACGUAGGGCGCGAGCGUUGUCCGGAAUUAUUGGGCGUAAAGAGCUCGUAGGCGGCCUGUUGCGUCCGCUGUGAAAGCCCGGGGCUUAACCCCGGGUCUGCAGUGGAUACGGGCAGGCUAGAGGUAGGUAGGGGAGAAUGGAAUUCCCGGUGUAGCGGUGAAAUGCGCAGAUAUCGGGAGGAACACCGGUGGCGAAAGCGGCGCACUGGACCACAACUGACGCUGAGGCGCGAAAGCUAGGGGAGCAAACAGGA
rnacentral:rRNA from 1 species